ACUUUUUAAUAACGGUACAUAAUAUUUAAAAGUAUAUAGUAUUGAAUAAUUCUUAAUCAUGGCUCCCAGUUUGAUAUGGGCCUAUUGCACAAAAGUUAACAAUGGCAGUAAAGUUAAGUGUAAUUUAUGUGAUAAAGAUUUUUUGUUUAAUAAAAGCACAUCAACAAUGAUGAAGCACUUACAAUGUGUUCACAAGAUUGCUCCUCCGUCAAGUAAUGAAAAACAAACUCGGAAAAGAUUGAAUGACAGUCACAAUGAUUUCGAAGUUCAGCCUAAAAAAGCUUUAGUCGCUGUCGAAUCAUCUGUUCAUUCGGUUGCUUUGGUACCUCAAACUAAAUCAUCUGUUCAAGAAAAUACCACAGUACAAUCUCAUGUUCAAGUCCCUAUAGAUCGUUGUAUGAACAAUGCUAAUUCUUUUUCAGCUGGUGGAUAUAGACAUGAUCAAGCUACCAUAGCUCUUUUACGAAUGAUCGCAGUUGAUAAUAUGCCUCUGUGUACUACAGAAAGACCAGGAUUCAGAAAAUUGAUUAAAACACUACAACCGUUGUAUCACAUAGACUGUGAGCCGUAAAUAUCAAGAUUUGUCGAAUAAAACAAUACUUGAACUGCGACAGACUGAAUCUGUGUGUCUUACUACUGAUAUCUGGACUCACCAACACACAAUGAAAAGCUAUCUUGGCUUAACAGUUCACUAUCUGAAAUAAACUGAGAUGAAGACUGUUGAGAUGGGCGCUUAUCUCAUGGAAGAGAUAGAAACAAUAGAAAAUUUGAGCUUGAAAUUAAGAAAUAUAUGCAAUGACUGGGGUCUUGAUGAUAAUAAAAUAGCAGCAUUCGUUUCAGACGGAGGCGCAAACAUUAAAGGAGCUAUUAAAAGUGAGUUUGGCGAUGGAAAACACAUUUCGUGUUUUGGACAUGUAAUAAAUAAUAUUGGUCAGCGCCUUAUCGAAGUUAAUAUUACUUCACCUGCAUCUGAAUCUCAAAAUCAAGUUUCCGACUUACCCGUUGCUGAAAAUGUUGCUAUUGACAAUCUUGAAGACUUAAUUACAGAUCAUACUGAGCAAUCGUCAUUGCGUGAGCUAUUGUCAAAAGUUAAAAAAAUUGUCACAUUCUUUCGACAAAGUGAAAGAGCGACUACAGAGCUGCUAAAAUUACAGAAGGACAAGCCUGAAAAUUCUCGUCUGAAAUUAAUUCAGGAAGUGCGAACGAGAUGGAACUCCUGUUUUGAAAUGGUUGACCGUUUCAUUGUUCUUGCUGAUCAUGUAAGUUAAGUGCUUUUACAAGUGAAGAUAGACAAAUCUUCAAAAGCGAAGCCACCUAACAUGAUCACAGGUGAGGAAAUCGAUGCGUUAAUAGAAGUUCGUGACAUCUUAAAACCUCUCUUGCGAGUAACUCAAGAAGUUUGUUUUGAGAAAUGUGUAACAUUGAGCAAGUGCAUUGAAAUAUUAUCUUGUUUUGAAUUUUUAUUGAAUGAAUUGAUUUUAUAUUUUACAGAAGAUUGAAGAGUUAACGCCAUAAACUUUAAUUAGGCAACAUUUGAAAAAUAGAAUGGUUCAAGACAUCGAAACAAAAUACGGCAAUAUUGAAUCUGUAAAACUGUGCGCUUGGGCAACAUUGGCUGAUCCUCGUUAUAAAAACUUUGGUUUUCAAAGUAUUCGGGUUUCUGCACGAGCGGUGGGGAAUGUUUAGUUUAGUAUCUCACUUUGAAGAGGUUUUGCGCAAAGGGGGAGAGGGCUGGGGGCUUGCUACCCCCCUCAUUUGAAAGGUAAUGAAUGGAGCUUUUGAAUAAUAGCACCUUUCCCCCCCUAGGACCACGGGGGGCUCUAGGGCAGCCUCCUGAAAAUGGUGUAAAAUCGUAGU